GCCAGGGUGCUUACCCUGGCGAGCCGUGUGCCGAACAUUGCCGACCCCUGCACUAGGCUAUGGAAUAGUCUGAGGUGGGUCUCACUCAAUCUCUUGCAUUAAUGCCGUUCUUAAACAAAAGGAAGUAUUUCUUUGCACAGUCAACCUGUGGAACUCAUUGCCAGUGGAUGUUGUGAAGGCCAAGACUAUAACAGGGUUCAAGAAAGAACUAGAUAAAUUCAUGGAGGUUAGGUUCAUCAAUGGCUAUUAGCCAGGAUGAGCAAGGAUAGUGUCUCUAGUUUGCUAGAAGCUGGAAGUGGGCGACAGGGGAUGGAUCACUUGAUGAUUACCUGUGCUGUUCAUUCCGUCGGGGGCACCUGGCAUUGGCCACUGUUGGAAGACAGGAUACUGGACUAGAUGGACAGUUGGUCUGAUCCAGUAUGGCCGUUCUUAUGUUCCACUUAAAUAAUUAUUAAUUGGGCCAAUGAAAGAGUUAAAAUGGCUCUGUAGCUAGUGGUUAGGGCACUCACCAAAGAGGUGGCUGAUCCCUGUUCAAAUUCCUUCUCCCACUCAGUAAGAGGGGGGGGACUUGAAUGAGAGGCCUUCCACAUCCCAGGCAAGUAUCCUAACCACUAAGCUAAAUAUUACAAAGGAGUGCCUCCUUCAUCUCCCCCUGCCGUUUUGUUUUGGACCCUGCACACAACUUGGCCAGCCAAUUACCUAUCUUCCCAUGGUUUGUGGAUUGUAAAUAGAGAUAAAUGCUUCCCUACUGCUUGGAUUUAGGCCUCUGUCUCUGAGAUGGGGUGGACACACACACUCUCACUCUCUCUUGUCAGUCACUCCCUUUGGCUGGCUUAAACAGCUCAUCACUUACCAUGCUGGCUUUCUGGAUCAGCAUCUAAGGUGCUUUUGUGAAAGUUAAAUGAAUUAUAUUAAAGAAAUAGAAUGAAUUAAAGAAUGCUGUAUGUACCUUUAAGUAGAAAUGAGGCUGCAAGCCAGGGGGGCAGGAAAGCAGACAUUAACUGCUUAACUUGCCACUUAAGGGCAAUUGGUGAAGCAUUAGCCUUAGAUCGAUAAGAGUUAAUAAGGAAGCAGGAUAUGCAUAUUGUGCCCUAUGCAAAUUUUACAAUUUUGCUCUCUCUGUCCCUUUGUUUAGUUCGCACCCUUUUAUCUGUAUAAAUAAGACUGUUUGAAUCUUGCAUGGGGGCUCACAUUAUCUGAAUGUAUUAGCAGAGCGCUGUGCUAAUAAAACAGAGUGGUCUGACAAACUAUGAGUCCUGAGUCUAACUUUGACAAUUUGGAGGUUCCACCGAGAUGGCAACCGUCUUCACUGGGGCUAUGUGAUUCCUGACCGUUUUUGUAGGACGACCGUGGUAGCCGGCACCUGGGCAUUUGGCCCGAGCGGUCCUCCUCCUGAACGGAAGAGUGCACGACCACAGUGAGGUCUACGCCAUUGAACCUGUUGGUUCCCACUCUGUUCUGGUAGGGAUCCCGGGAUCUGACAUCAGGAAUCUGGUCAGCCAUUCUAAAGGAAAAAUGGGCCCUUUUCCAGAGGAAUGUCUGUAAAUAAUCCAGGUAAAGAGACUAUCUAAUUAAAAUCAUUUGACUAUGGACAAUUGAGUCAAAUUUGCUAAAAGAACAUGGGGGGGGGGGUUUCUAUUGGAACUUAACUGCCCCAAAUGUAUAAAGGUAAUGUAAUCUAUGUACAGCUAUGUAAAAACAAAGCAGUGUAAGAGGGAUGUUAAGGGAGAGAAAAUGUGUAUGUAUCUGUCUGUCUGUGGGAAUAUGUGAGGUUUGUAAAACUCCUGUUUUAUAAGUUUAAGAUAAAUUGGUUUUGUUUUGUUUAUAAUGCCACUAAAAAUCCAUUUGACUCUUUAAUUCAAAGUUGCAAAACUGACAGACCUUUUUGCCAGACAUAGGUAAUCAGUGUUGGUUGACUUUGAGAUUUGGUAUUUAACCCUUACGGGGUAACUUGAUUCUUUACAAAAUUUAAAUGUUUUCAAAUAAAGACCAAGUCAUGACUGCAGCAGGACAGUCAAAAUCAGAAAAAUAGGGAGAGAUUUUGGAUUCUGUUUGUUUGUUUUUGUAACAAAAUAGUAAAUGAAAGCUGUAGGAAAAGAAUAAAGACCCUCUGAAGCAACAGCAGGGGUGAGGUGCAUAAAAUAAAAAGAAGCAAUGUUAGAAACACUGAGCCUUAAAAUGUCUCUGUGUAAUCAGACUGUCACUUUGAUAAGGGUACAUAAAACUCUAAGAACAAAAGAAACAGUUACACCUUAUGUAAAAAUUAAUAUGGCUAAUGUUUUAAAAGUUAAAGUAUAGAAGGAAUGUGCAGACGUGUGCAGUGUAUAUUAUAGAGGGGGUAAAAGGAAUGCAAACAAAACAUGCUACUUAAUUAAAAUCCUGUUAGGGCUCCAAAGGAGCCACAAUAGAUUGUAUUUUCUUUUUCAGAUCUGUGUGUGUUUUGGAAGCAAGAGUUAAAAGUAAUCAAAACUCUGGUAAAAGUUAAUUGUGUUCCUUUUAAGACAGAGUCUCUGAGCUCUGCUAAUGGUUUUGAAUCCAAAAGCCAAGCCUGUGUGGAUGCAAAUUAUCUAACUGAUAAAGGAAGUGAGAGAACUGCCAGCACAAAGAGGUUGCAGAUAAAGAACAUACCUGGUCAGCAAACAAAUUGUCUAAAUAAAAGGCACAGUAUAACAAGAUACCUUUAAUUAAAAUAAAUUUAAUGUUAAUAAGUACCCCUGUAACAAUGUAUAGUGUAUAUGAUUUUUGAAAAAAAAAAUCCUUUAUGGUAAUGAUGCUUUUCAGCUGUUACCUGUGAACAAACUUAAAGCUUAAUACAGCAGGAAAGACAUUGUAACCUUGGUCUGCUGUAAAGGGAAAACUGAGGUACACCACCUCAUGGAUUUAAUGACUGAACAGUGGGAUAAUUUCCCCAUAACUCUUAAAAGAUAGAAGCCAUUAAAACCUGGCCUGCCUAUAGAACAAAAACACAGGAAAAUAUGGAGGUAAUUCCUCUUGUUUUGCCUGCAAUCAGCAAGGGUAUUUGUAAAAAAAAAAGGAAUAUUUUAAGCAAUAAUGAAUGCCACCCCAAAAGGGGUAGAAAAAUGUUAUUUUUGUCUUUCAGAAAAAGCUAAUAUCAGCUACAGGACAACCUAAUAAGAAACAAAUAAAAGUGGGUAUGCUUAUCCAUGCCUGUUGCUCCAAAGCCCUGUAGUAAAGACAUCUCACUAGGAUCCUGUAUGUGAGAUAAAAUGAAUAAUGAGACCAAAGUACUGUAUAAUGGGCUGUGUUUAUGUGUUAAUUCUUGGGGGGGGGGGAGUGUUAGCAACCUUCCAAUAGACAAAUGUAAAUGUAAUGUAAGUAAUGUGUUUACAAAAAGGUAACAUAGUUCCUAAAACAAACAAAAAGGCAAUGUGGGAAACCGAACCAUUCAUAUUAUACAUGCAAAUGGCAACAUGUUAAGAAUUGCCACUGCAGAAAGACAUAACAGCUUACCAUUGGUAUAAUAUAUUUUCUGAAUGGUCUCCCACAACUACUGGCAUACUAAUGUUACUAACCCUAAUUGUUUUUGAUUUUAAAUUGUAUGUGUUUAAUUGUAAUGUUUGAAAUGUGCUGUUGGAUAAAACAAAUGUAUGCAAAGCUAGAGCCACAGGCCCAAAUCACCUCCCAGUAUUUUCUAUUACGUGGACUAAAUAAGAAGUGACACUGGCGAUUAAUAAUCUUAGUGUCAAAAGGGGGAUAUGUAGGAGCAGGAUUUUAUAAUGUCCCAUAAGAAUUAAUGUAUGAUUUGAUUUCAUCCCUGUCAGCCACCUUUUUUUGAAUAGCAGAAAGGAAUGACAGACCAGAACAAUCCUUAUGACUGAUUAUGGUCACCCGUUUGUUUUAGAAUAAGUUAUAAUGUCUACUAUGGUUUCCUAUAUGUAUUACAAAGUAGGCCUCUAGUUAAAUACUGUUUGUAUUCUCAAUCUGUGUGAAUAAGGAAUGUAUGCAUCAGGAAAAGAUAAGGUGUGAAGGCCGUUGUUAUAGCCAGAGUCAAGGAAGAAGUAAAGAGACUUAAAGGACAUCAAAGAAUCAUCAGGUACUGCUUACUAUCCAGAUGGCUGUUAAACUGUCUGGCAUCACAGCGUGCAUACAUGCUUCGCAGUGUAAGAAGGCACCCCCCCAGCAAACCAAUCACCUCAGAACUACGCAGAGUCAAUUUUGACUCCAGAAGAAGACGUAGAGGAACAGCCUGCAAUACUUUACGAUCUACGCUCUCGUAAGGGUUGCCAGAAGCAGACGAGGACCUAAAGCAAGGCCCAAAAAGAAGCAGUAGUGAGCCUAGCGCCUGCUGCCUGGUGGAUGUAAAACCGUGACUGCGGUUCCCUCAGUUGAGGUUGUCCGAACCGGAAGGGCCUUGCCUCCAACAUGAGCCUCUGGCGGCGCCUGUUCCUCAGCUGCUGGUGUCUUAAGGUCUGGGGAGUCCACAAUGACAAUUCUUUUAUCCAGCAGCAAGUGUGGAUAGCUCAGACUCUUAAUAUUUCUAAUUGCUGGGUCUGCAGCCACAUCCCAGCUCACUCUCAAGCUGGUGUUCCUGUCCUGGCAAUCCCACUCAAUUCCCCAGAGCUCACUGGAGGACUUCAUCUGUUUAACAAAACAUGGAACAAUAAUGACACUUGGGAAGCAGUGGGAAUAAAUGUAUCUAAAUGGAUAAGUGUGAUGGAGGGAAAAGGUCAUUGGUGUUGAGUGUGUAAUGGACAGGGCUGGAUCUGGGAAAAAGCCGUUGCCUUCAGCAUAUUGUGGCCAAUGGUGUAUGGGAUUAUUCGAACAAAACUAAAGAGUGGCGGGCUGGGUACGGGGAUAUGAAUUUUUCUUGACCUGGGAUCAAACAGAAAAAUCAAUUUCAUGUUCCCCCUACAGUAAUCUUAGUGAAAACAAUACAAUCUUUCAAUGCCAUGCAAAUAACACCACUCCUCGUAAGGAGAAUUACCCUGUGCCCUUCGGAGGAUAUUACUCCUCCUUUGUAGGCACCUAUGUGACAAAUGGGUGCAACCGACCCUCCCCAGCCUUAAUAGGCCAUCAUUGGGUUUGUGGGACCAAAGCUUAUACUGUGUUACCAGCUAACUGGUCAGGUAGCUGUUAUCCCACCCGACUCUUCCCACAAUUCUGAGUGCUAGGGUCCUUCCCAUGAGAACGCCUUCGUAAUUUCAGGCGAAAAAGAAGGGACUUAUCAGAUGCCCAAUGGUAUGUAAAUAACAUAAGCCCCUUGACCUGGGAAGAGGCCAUUGGCGGUUCCCUUAUCCCACUUGGGGGAGUAAUACACCAUGCAAAAAGGCUCCUAAGGUUACAAGCAGUAGUUGAAAUAAUGGCAAAUGAAACUGGAGAGAGUUUAAAGACCCUGGCCAAAGAAACAGGGGCGAUCUGACAGAUGGCCCUCCAAAACCAUCAGGCAUUGGACAUAGUGCUGGCAGCCAAAGGAGGGAUCUGUGCUCUCAUUGGAAAAGAAUGUUGUGUGUUCAUACCUGACGACACCAAUGAGGUAAUAGAUCGCGCUAGUCACUUAGAACAAAUCGCAUAUCUUCCCUAUGAAGAGCCGAGUUCUUUAUGGAAGUGGCUAAGUAACCUAUUCAAUUUCUCUGGCAUAGGAAACUGGUUGUUUCAGGGAGCCCUGACUAUCCUGUGCGGAAUCCUAAUGAUUUUUGUAUGCUUUCAGUUAAUCUCCUGUUGUAUCCAGAAUUGUGUAAGGUAUGCCACCCAGGUGACUGCCCCAAAACAGAGUGCUAAUAUGAUGAUGUUAAAUAUCACUUAUGAACAAAGAGAUAAAGAACUAUUAAUAUGUGGAACCCAGUAAUUGUUGGUCUUUGCGUAAGCUUGACCAAAAGGAGGGAUUGUGAAAGUUAAAUGAAUUAUAUUAAAGAAAUAGAAUGAAUUAAAGAAUGCUGUAUGUACCUUUAAGUAGAAAUGAGAAAUGCUGCAAGCCAGGGGGCAGGAAAGCAGACAUUAACUGCUUAACUUGCCACUUAAGGGCAAUUGGUGAAGCAUUAACCUUAGAUCGAUAAGAGUUAAUAAGGAAGCAGGAUAUGCAUAUUGUGCCCUAUGCAAAUUUUACAAUUUUGCUCUCUCUGUCCCUUUGUUUAGUUCGCACCCUUUUAUCUGUAUAAAUAAGACUGUUUGAAUCUUGCAUGGGGGCUCACAUUAUCUGAAUGUAUUAGCAGAGCGCUGUGCUAAUAAAACAGAGUGGUCUGACAAA